AGAAAGGAACAAGUGAAGCUGCCAGCAUGAUCUAUCUAUAUAUGGUUAGCUAGCUAAUUAAUUAGUAGUCUCAUUAAGUAUAUAAUUAUAUGCUUAAUUAUAUAGCUAGAUCAUGUUAUGACAGCAUCACUCCUUCCUUGU
rnacentral:pre_miRNA from 1 species